GUCGACGAUGAUGCCCAGCUUGCUGGGUGGAUUAGUGGCGAACGGGUGAGUAACACGUGAGUAACCUGCCCCUGACUCUGGGAUAAGCGUUGGAAACGACGUCUAAUACUGGAUAUGAUCACUGGCCGCAUGGUCUGGUGGUGGAAAGAUUUUUUGGUUGGGGAUGGACUCGCGGCCUAUCAGCUUGUUGGUGAGGUAAUGGCUCACCAAGGCGACGACGGGUAGCCGGCCUGAGAGGGUGACCGGCCACACUGGGACUGAGACACGGCCCAGACUCCUACGGGAGGCAGCAGUGGGGAAUAUUGCACAAUGGGCGAAAGCCUGAUGCAGCAACGCCGCGUGAGGGAUGACGGCCUUCGGGUUGUAAACCUCUUUUAGUAGGGAAGAAGCGAAAGUGACGGUACCUGCAGAAAAAGCACCGGCUAACUACGUGCCAGCAGCCGCGGUAAUACGUAGGGUGCAAGCGUUGUCCGGAAUUAUUGGGCGUAAAGAGCUCGUAGGCGGUUUGUCGCGUCUGCUGUGAAAUCCCGAGGCUCAACCUCGGGCUUGCAGUGGGUACGGGCAGACUAGAGUGCGGUAGGGGAGAUUGGAAUUCCUGGUGUAGCGGUGGAAUGCGCAGAUAUCAGAGGAACACCGAUGGCGAAGGCAGAUCUCUGGGCCGUAACUGACGCUGAGGAGCGAAAGCGUGGGGAGCGAACAGGAUUAGAUACCCUGGUAGUCCACGCCGUAAACGUUGGGCGCUAGAUGUAGGGACCUUUUC
rnacentral:rRNA from 1 species